UCGAUUCCCUUAGUAGCGGCGAGCGAAACGGGAAGAGCCCAAACCAACAAGCUUGCUUGUUGGGGUUGUAGGACACUCUAUACGGAGUUACAAAGGACGACAUUAGACGAAUCAUCUGGAAAGAUGAAUCAAAGAAGGUAAUAAUCCUGUAGUCGAAAAUGUUGUCUCUCUUGAGUGGAUCCUGAGUACGACGGAGCACGUGAAAUUCCGUCGGAAUCUGGGAGGACCAUCUCCUAAGGCUAAAUACUCUCUAGUGACCGAUAGUGAACCAGUACCGUGAGGGAAAGGUGAAAAGCACCCCGGAAGGGGAGUGAAAUAGAACCUGAAACCGUGUGCUUACAAGUAGUCAGAGCCCGUUAAUGGGUGAUGGCGUGCCUUUUGUAGAAUGAACCGGCGAGUUACGAUUUGAUGCAAGGUUAAGCAGUAAAUGUGGAGCCGUAGCGAAAGCGAGUCUGAAUAGGGCGUUUAGUAUUUGGUCGUAGACCCGAAACCAGGUGAUCUACCCUUGGUCAGGUUGAAGUUCAGGUAACACUGAAUGGAGGACCGAACCGACUUACGUUGAAAAGUGAGCGGAUGAACUGAGGGUAGCGGAGAAAUUCCAAUCGAACCUGGAGAUAGCUGGUUCUCUCCGAAAUAGCUUUAGGGCUAGCCUCAAGUGAUGAUUAUUGGAGGUAGAGCACUGUUUGGACGAGGGGCCCCUCUCGGGUUACCGAAUUCAGACAAACUCCGAAUGCCAAUUAAUUUAACUUGGGAGUCAGAACAUGGGUGAUAAGGUCCGUGUUCGAAAGGGAAACAGCCCAGACCACCAGCUAAGGUCCCAAAAUAUAUGUUAAGUGGAAAAGGAUGUGGCGUUGCCCAGACAACUAGGAUGUUGGCUUAGAAGCAGCCAUCAUUUAAAGAGUGCGUAAUAGCUCACUAGUCGAGUGACACUGCGCCGAAAAUGUACCGGGGCUAAACAUAUUACCGAAGCUGUGGAUUGUCCUUUGGACAAUGGUAGGAGAGCGUUCUAAGGGCGUUGAAGCAUGAUCGUAAGGACAUGUGGAGCGCUUAGAAGUGAGAAUGCCGGUGUGAGUAGCGAAAGACGGGUGAGAAUCCCGUCCACCGAUUGACUAAGGUUUCCAGAGGAAGGCUCGUCCGCUCUGGGUUAGUCGGGUCCUAAGCUGAGGCC
rnacentral:rRNA from 1 species